rnacentral:rRNA from 1 species
GUCUUACCAUGCAAGUCGAACGAUGAUCCCAGCUUGCUGGGGGAUUAGUGGCGAACGGGUGAGUAACACGUGAGUAACCUGCCCUUGACUCUGGGAUAAGCCUGGGAAACUGGGUCUAAUACCGGAUAUGACCGUCUGACGCAUGUCAGGUGGUGGAAAGCUUUUGUGGUUUUGGAUGGACUCGCGGCCUAUCAGCUUGUUGGUGGGGUAAUGGCCUACCAAGGCGACGACGGGUAGCCGGCCUGAGAGGGUGACCGGCCACACUGGGACUGAGACACGGCCCAGACUCCUACGGGAGGCAGCAGUGGGGAAUAUUGCACAAUGGGCGCAAGCCUGAUGCAGCGACGCCGCGUGAGGGAUGACGGCCUUCGGGUUGUAAACCUCUUUCAGUAGGGAAGAAGCGAAAGUGACGGUACCUGCAGAAGAAGCGCCGGCUAACUACGUGCCAGCAGCCGCGGUAAUACGUAGGGCGCAAGCGUUAUCCGGAAUUAUUGGGCGUAAAGAGCUCGUAGGCGGUUUGUCGCGUCUGCUGUGAAAGACCGGGGCUCAACUCCGGUUCUGCAGUGGGUACGGGCAGACUAGAGUGAUGUAGGGGAGACUGGAAUUCCUGGUGUAGCGGUGAAAUGCGCAGAUAUCAGGAGGAACACCGAUGGCGAAGGCAGGUCUCUGGGCAUUAACUGACGCUGAGGAGCGAAAGCAUGGGGAGCGAACAGGAUUAGAUACCCUGGUAGUCCAUGCCGUAAACGUUGGGCACUAGGUGUGGGGGACAUUCCACGUUUUCCGCGCCGUAGCUAACGCAUUAAGUGCCCCGCCUGGGGAGUACGGCCGCAAGGCUAAAACUCAAAGGAAUUGACGGGGGCCCGCACAAGCGGCGGAGCAUGCGGAUUAAUUCGAUGCAACGCGAAGAACCUUACCAAGGCUUGACAUGAACCGGUAAUACCUGGAAACAGGUGCCCCGCUUGCGGUCGGUUUACAGGUGGUGCAUGGUUGUCGUCAGCUCGUGUCGUGAGAUGUUGGGUUAAGUCCCGCAACGAGCGCAACCC